GUGCUGCUUUGUGGUUUGAGGCCUCACAUCCUCCCAUCAGACACAGAUUCUGAGCUCAGAAGCAUAGAACAUCUACUUGUUCUUAAUUAUGAGGUGCAUGAGUGGAAUUCCCAUUCUCCUAACUUUGGGUAUUGUGGGUGAUGCUAAGACCACACAGCCAGAUUCAAUGGAAACGAUUGAAGAAGAAACUGUACACUUGCCUUGUAGCCACUCCACCAUCAGUGGGAACGAGUACAUUUACUGGUACCGACAGGUUCCUCUUCGCGGUCCAGAAUAUGUGAUUCAUGGUUUACAACAAAACACAAGCAAUGGAAUGGCCUUUCUGGCUAUUCCCUCUGACAGAAAGUCAAGUACCUUGAUCCUGCCUCGGGUCAGCCUGAGCGAUGCUGCUGUGUAUCACUGUAUCCUGAGAGAAGCACACUGUGACAGACAGGGCUGCACCUGUGCAAUAUCUGCCUGGUGAGGGAGGGGAGCAGUGGCGCCUUCUAAAGAGGUCUCUGUGAUGGAAUGAGAAGAAGCCCUACAGGUGAAAGGGAAGACUGAGGAACCCAGCAGGGAUGGGAAAGGAAUGCUGAGCCUGGGCAAGAACAGCUGACAGCAGAUAGACAGACAUGCCUGCAGGGCAGCUGAUAGCACAACUUCCAGUUCCAC